UUGUUACUCCCUCCGUACAACAAAAGAUAUUUUAAAUUUGUCAAAAUUUAAAUGUAUCUAUACAUGACUUAGCGUAUAGAUGCAUGACUUAGCGUAUAGAUGCAUUCAAAUUUAGUCAAAGUUGAGACAUUUUUUGUUGGACGGAGGGAGUAAGCG
rfam:Brachypodium distachyon strain Bd21 chromosome 3, whole genome shotgun sequence.